AUGGCUAUUGUUUUGGUCCACGCCGUUUCUGCCUCGACGGACACUGUCGUCGUAGGUGCCGAUGAGGAGACCCGCGACCAACUAUCUGGGCCCAGCGCGCUCGGUCAAUUCCCUCGGAGCAAGAGCAAAUUUAACAAAGCAAUACAACAAAACGUGGAGCAGCUAAUGUACAUCCAAUCAACUCUCAGGGCAUUCAAGGAGCGAGGAACAAUGGGUAUAUCAAAUAAAAAACGUAACCAGCUUUCCCCGGGUGAAGAAUCCUCUACUAAAAUGAGCCUCAGGUACAUCCUACUCAGAUGGCAUAGGAGAGAUCUACAACCAGUUUUACUCAGGUUCUUUUGCUGA
rnacentral:rRNA from 1 species